rnacentral:rRNA from 1 species
GUGCCAGCAGCCGCGGUAAUACGUAGGGGUCGAGCGUUGUCCGGAGUUACUGGGCGUAAAGCGCGUGCAGGUGGCUCAUUACGCCCGGCGUGAAAGCCCCCGGCUCAACCGGGGAGGGUCGUCGGGGACGGGUGAGCUUGAGGGUAGCAGGGGCUGGUAGAAUUCCCGGUGUAGUGGUGAAAUGCGUAGAGAUCGGGAGGAAUACCCGUGGCGAAGGCGGCCAGCUGGGCUACACCUGACACUGAGACGCGAAGGCGUGGGGAGCGAACGGGAUUAGAAACCCCAGUAGUCC